CCAGAACGCGGUGAUACCACCCGCACGUAUAGACGGACAAGAAUAGGCUUCGGCUUUGUGUCUUAGCAGGCGAUUCUUCCACGGCGCUCGAAGCGCGUCGUGGUAUUUCGCGUAUUGUAAUUUCAACACGAGCGGGGUCAAAUCCUUUGCAGACGACUUAGCUGUGCGAAACGGUCCUGUAAGCAGUAGAGUAGCCUUGUUGUUACGAUCUGCUGAGGGUAAGCCGUCCUUCGCCUCGAUUU
rnacentral:rRNA from 1 species